ensembl:lncRNA
UGACUUAUGAAACAGAGGAAAUUAGACUGAACUCCAAAACUUCAUUUUUAAAAAGCCGUCAUUGCAUGUAGCAUUUUUGUGAGCAGAAACUGAAACUCAACAACACAUCACAGCAGACAGGAAGAGCAUAUACAAAAGGGAUCUGUCCAGCCUUGAGAAUUUCCUGAGCAUCUGAUCUGCCAGAUUACGAGCAUUUCCUGAGACCAUAAAACAGAGGAGCAUUCAAAGCAUCAUCAAAUUUACCUGUUGAGAACUGUGUAGACCUCAAAACAUGCCUUUAACAAUUGAAAAGUGUAAAAGAGAGCUGGACAAACUGGCUCUUGCCAUCUCUGUUCCAAUGAUCAUUUUAUUAUUUCCUUUGGAGGCUUUGAUUGAUAAAGAUUUUAUAUGCCCAUGCGAUGCUAAACUGAAUCCGAUAAUAACAAACCUCAUCUUCGCUGGCCCUUUUAUUUUAGUUUUUGCUUCAAUGUGUAUUAUUUUACAGCAGAUUAAAUUUAAAUCUUCUGUAUUUCAGCCUUUAAAAAUAUUGUUUCUUUGCCUGAUUCCACCUUUUGUGUGGAUCGUUCUUGUGCUCCUUGAUGGUGACUAUGUUGCCUGUCGAGACACAGACUGGAAUGGAGUGUAUGUUUCAGAUGAUCAGCUACAUUUUAGAUGGUGUAAACCCACUGACUCAUUUCCAGGAAGAAAUGACACCGAGCUCCAGGCUCUGACGCUCAGCUUUAUUGUCAAGUCACAGAUGUAUGGUUUUGGGAUGCUCCUUUCAUUAGGCAUUUAUUUAAUUGUGCUUCAUAUUGGCUGCUGUCGCAGCUGCAACCACUGCAACUGCACCUGCAGUAAUGACGAGCCAGAAAGUGAGUAACAGACUGAGAAGGAAGAAUUUAAAGGUACUUUUGUUUGCUAUAGACAUGAACCAAGCACAGUUCAGAUCUAAUGAUUGGGGAGGAAACUUUCCUCUGCAGCUCAAAGAAACCAUUGCAAGAAAUGCAUUUCUUCUCUAUAGCCUAUGCGAGUGUAGAAGGAUGAGUUUUAUGGUUUAUGGUUUUGUGUUGUUGUUUUAUUAUGUGAUCUUUCCCUUAUUAAAAUGUUUUAUUAAUGUCUUUUAAUAAAAUUAAUGUUCACUUUGGUUCA